GUAAGACAAGCAUCUAACUCACUAAAUACAAGUAAGACAUGUGGGCUAAACGAACUCAAUUCCCUAUAUAAGUAUAUUUAGCAACAAUUAACAUCAUGAUUUAUAUUUGAUUACUGUAAUCAGUUUCAGCUUAUUCAGAUAUUGUUGAAAGGUAUCUAGUAGCAUAUCGUUGAGUUGCUCGUCCAGUUUCCACAGUUGAGGUGAGCCAUCCACCCAUCCAUAGAGGUAUUUUGAAGUAAGAAUGCUCGGAAAGCGAAAAAACGAGGAUAAUAAGAAAUAUGUUCUGAUAAGCAUAAGGACGGACCGUAAACAUGCUCGACGGUCCGUCGAAUCGCCUUGUCAAUAAGUUCCUGCGAAGUAGCAAAUCAUCAGAGCAUUAUCAGAUCGUCGACUUGCACCGUCGACAUGAUCGACGGUCCGUCGAAGUGUUUCGACGGUGGAGUUCCUGCAGAGUGAUAAACGUAUACUCAGAUCGUCGAUAUGGUCGUUGAGCAUGUCGACGAGCGUCAAAGUGCAAAGACGACCCGUCGAAGUACAAGCCGAGCUGGAACAGGACUGGGAUUGAUUAUUUCGAGUUUGACUUGUAUAAAUACCUGUUUAGGUUUUAUUUUUCAGAGAUCUGGAGUUUAGACUUGUAGUAAUUACUUUUGAGUUGUUAUUGGUUUUGAAGAUUUCCAGAUGUUG